UGUAAUCUUGUUUCGUCGCGUAAGAAAAGCGAGAGGGCGGAAACGACGAGUUGCAUUCAAAGAAAAUUAUUUGCACCCACGCCGAUGAAUCUUUCUCUCUCUUUCCCUUAUACAUAUGUGUUUCAUCGGCACUCGCCGCACCCUAAGAUUCUGUUUGUUGAUAAAAUAGGAUCACCGUGUAUCCUUCACACUAGUCACGGGAGUUUGUCUAUCGUGACAUAGGAUCGAAAGUAGCCGAUCGUAGAUCAAUUUAUUCUCAUCCGGAAAAUUGGAAAACGUUUUGGUCAUUUUAAAUUGCUAGUCGUGGAAUUAUUAAAAAGUUUCAUCAAUACGAUCGAUCAAUUUGUUCGAUUUUCAAAAUUUAUGCAAUAAUUCUUUUCCGAUGAUCUAAUAGUAUAAAAUGUAAAUUAUUCCACGCCAUAAUCAAAAAGUAACGUAAUUUGAAGAGAAUAAUUUGUCAUAUUAUCUUUUAUUUAACGAGUCAAAAAAUGUAUCGAUAACUUAUGACAUUGAUGUGACUUUAUCAUGGCACAUACGCGUUACGUAUAUCUUUGUCGUUAAUUCGUACGUAACCAUAUUUCCGAACGAUGAAAAGCUAAAAAAAGAACAUGCUAGGAGAAAUAGUAUUAGAAAAAUUAAAAAAAAUAUAUAUAUAUACGAUAUAGGAAAUAUCGAUUGAUAAUGCCCAAGGCGAUGAAAAUUUCGAUGAAAGAAUAUAGCUUAGAGUCGAAUUGAUCCUUUCACCUUGGAAACUUACUAACUACCUUCUCCCUUUAAAAUUGUUCCUCUAGGGAGUCUUGAUAGUAGCCGAGCGGAAGCGGAAGCUUCGCGGUCGCGCGUCGUUGCUUCCGAUAAGCCGAACAACGAACAGCAGCUCUUCAUGUUAGAAAUCUUCGCCUUCGAAGAGAAUGAGGAUGAGAGAGAGAGAGAGAGAGAGAUUUGUGAACAUCAUCCGGACGUAUAGACGUAGUUAAGUACGACGCAAUUCGAGCGACGAAAUUUCAAAGAUCGAUCGUUUAAACGCCGAGCAUUUACGCUCUCUUGAAUGUACAUUGAGGAGGAUUUCACAAGUUUACUAUACUCAACGUUAUCUAUAUUCUCUAGUGAAACGUGUACGUAAGCAGAUAAUUCGAUGCAACUUAAGAACUGAUCCGUAUGUAUUGGAAAUUACUUUGACUUAAGGUGAAAUAUGCGAACAUAACUUUGUAAGGUUUGAAAAAUGAAUGAACAGUUUGCGAAUUACGCAGCUUCGAAAUACCUAUCGUUGGACUUUACUGGGUAGUAUCUAAAGAAAGUAGAAAAGAUAGAUAGAGUGGAAAGAUUCUGAAGAUGGUACAGAGACGGGGUGGAUCGAAUGUUGGAAAGAAAGAAACACGGAGAGAGAAAGAGAGAGAGAGAGGGAGAAAAAGGAGCAGCCGUUAAAGGUGUGAUACGAAAGGAACGUCGAGAAAGAGAGAAAGAGAGAGAGAGAGAACACGAGGUGAUAUUUCUCGCGAAGCUGAACCGAAUAAAUUUUUAACAAAAACUGCUGACUCGCUACAUUACGCUUCUUUCUCUCCUCUUCUUUUCUUUACGACCGGCCCGUCGCCUAUCUUUUUCGUCCCGCGCAGUCGUUUCUUUAUUUUUUUUUUUUUUCAUUUCUCCCUUAACUCAACCUUUCCAGGACGUAGUGCAUAUAUGCAUGCAUACAAAGAUAGAUACAUACGUACAUACGUUACCACGUAACUAUGCUUUUGAAUCUAGUCGCUUCUAUCGACAUACCUGCGAGAUAUUGUUAAUACAUUCGAUAGGCACAGAAUCAGAGAGGGAGAAAGAGAGAGAGAGAAAGUCCGAACUAAACGAGAAAAGCAGGCGAGUACUUGGGAAGAACGGUUUUCCCUUUGAUUCCGCAAGCUUUCCUGACCGCGCGCUCAAACGAUCGCGGCAUACCGCGAUGGAAUACUCAUCGUUUUUCACAAACCGGAUUCCAGGAGUCUACCACCGAAAAUGGCCUGCUCUCGUGCAUAUAUACAUACAUAAAUAUACACAUAUACAUAACGUACAUAUAUACAUUUAGCUUCAUUCGCCAGUAAUAUUAUGAAUAAGAUCCCAAAAUGAUGAAACGUAGUGAGAUUCAGCGUACAUACUCCCGUUCAGUUAGCGGGUAAUAUUAUGCAACGUUUCCUGUUCACGUUUAAAGUGUAAUUAACAUAUUCGCCAUUGAAAGCAAACGAGGCCAAAUCCCGAAUGGAGCUAACGGAACGGGUACGGCCAGGGCGGGCGUAUUGAGUAAAAACGUUUUACGGAUUGUACCGGGGAAUCUCUCGAAUCGAGAAACAGACGUAACGCCGCGCGCGCGAACGAACCAACCAACCAACCAACCAACCAACCAACCAACGAACGAACCAGCGAACGAACCAGAGAACGAACGAACAGGAGGCAGAAGAGAGGAGAUAGUGCAAGAGAGAAGGACGGCUAAAAACCCCCUCGAGGUUUCGACUCAGCAUCCCACGAUAUCUACAUCUAUUUUUGGCCACGGUCAGCUGUAGUUGCACGGCAUUAGCAUAAUGAAGACGGUUCGUCUCGUCUCCUCUUCUCUCCUUUCCUCUCCUCUCCUCUCCUCUCCUCUUUUUCCAUCCUUGUCUCUCUUUAUUCUAUACUAUCUGCCGUUUCUUCUCUCCCUUUCUCGCACGAUCUAUCUAUUCAUCUCUUUUGCGCGUGCAGCCUCGUUGUCGUCUCUCCUUCCCUUUCUAUUUCCCCCCUCCCUCCUUCCUACUACCACCACCACCACCAUCACCACCAUCACCCAUCUACCACCACUACUAUAUUUUUCUCUCUUUCACUCCUCUUCACAAGCAAACCGAGUGGUUCGGUUACUCCGUUGACACCGUUGCUGCUACUGCUACGAGUAAAUGCGAGAGUAGCCGGUGCCGGAUGGACCGAGAGGGAAUAUAAAGGCCAUGGGAUGGAAUGAGUGGACGAGAGAAUAAGAGAAAGAGAGAGAAA
rnacentral:lncRNA from 1 species